rnacentral:rRNA from 1 species
AAUUAUUUAUUUGAUGGUUUCUUACUACAUGGAUAACCGUAGUAAUUCUAGAGCUAAUACAUGCGCAAAGUCCCGACUCUCGCGGGGAGGGAUGUAUUUAUUAGAUUAAAAACCAAUGCGGCCUUUGGUCGGACUUGUGUUGAUUCAUAGUAACUUUUCGGAUCGCAGGGCUUCACGCCGGCGACAGUUCAUUCAAAUUUCUGCCCUAUCAGCUUUCGACGGUAGUGUAGUGGACUACCGUGGCAUUUACGGGUGACGGAGAAUUAGGGUUCGAUUCCGGAGAGGGAGCCUGAGAAACGGCUACCACA